AUUGAACGCUGGCGGCAUGCCUUACACAUGCAAGUCGAACGGUAACAGGUCUUCGGAUGCUGACGAGUGGCGAACGGGUGAGUAAUACAUCGGAACGUGCCUAGUAGUGGGGGAUAACUACUCGAAAGAGUGGCUAAUACCGCAUGAGCUCUACGGAUGAAAGCAGGGGAUCGCAAGACCUUGUGCUACUAGAGCGGCCGAUGGCAGAUUAGGGAGUUGGUGGGUUAAAAGCUUAACAAGCCGACGAUCUGUAGCUGGUCUGGGAAGACGGUCAACCACACCGGGACCGGGACACGGCCCCGACUUCUACGGGGGGCAGGAGGUGGGGAUUUUGGACAAUGGGCGCAAGCCUGAUCCAGCAAUGCCGCGUGCAGGAUGAAGGCCUUCGGGUUGUAAACUGCUUUUGUACGGAACGAAAAGCCCUGGGUUAAUACCCUGGGGUCAUGACGGUACCGUAAGAAUAAGCACCGGCUAACUACGUGCCAGCCGCCGCCGUAAUAC
rnacentral:rRNA from 1 species